rnacentral:rRNA from 1 species
CAGCACCUCAAGUGGUCAGGAUGAUUAUUGGGCCUAAAGCAUCCGUAGCCGGCGCUGUAAGUUUUCGGUUAAAUCUGUACGCUCAACGUACAGGCUGCCGGGAAUACUGCAGCGCUAGGGAGUGGGAGAGGUAGACGGUACUCGGUAGGAAGGGGUAAAAUCCUUUGAUCUAUUGAUGACCACCUGUGGCGAAGGCGGUCAACCAGAACACGUCCGACGGUGAGGGAUGAAAGCUGGGGGAGCAAACCGGAUUAGAGACCCGAGUAGUCC